ACGAUGAAGCCCAGCUUGCUGGGUGGAUUAGUGGCGAACGGGUGAGAAACACGUGAGUAACCUGCCCUUAACUCUGGGAUAAGCCUGGGAAACUGGGUCUAAUACCGGAUAGGAGCGCCUACCGCAUGGUGGGUGUUGGAAAGAUUUAUCGGUUUUGGAUGGACUCGCGGCCUAUCAGCUUGUUGGUGAGGUAAUGGCUCACCAAGGCGACGACGGGUAGCCGGCCUGAGAGGGUGACCGGCCACACUGGGACUGAGACACGGCCCAGACUCCUACGGGAGGCAGCAGUGGGGAAUAUUGCACAAUGGGCGAAAGCCUGAUGCAGCGACGCCGCGUGAGGGAUGACGGCCUUCGGGUUGUAAACCUCUUUCAGUAGGGAAGAAGCGAAAGUGACGGUACCUGCAGAAGAAGCACCGGCUAACUACGUGCCAGCAGCCGCGGUAAUACGUAGGGUGCGAGCGUUAUCCGGAAUUAUUGGGCGUAAAGAGCUCGUAGGCGGUUUGUCACGUCUGUCGUGAAAGUCCGGGGCUUAACCCCGGAUCUGCGGUGGGUACGGGCAGACUAGAGUGC
rnacentral:rRNA from 1 species